rnacentral:rRNA from 1 species
AGAGCGAACGCUGGCGGCAGGCCUAACACAUGCAAGUCGAGCGGUCGUAGCAAUACGGCAGCGGCAGACGGGAGAGUAACACGUGGGAACGCGCCCUUCGGUUCGGAAUAACUCAGGGAAACUUGGGCUAAUACCGGAUACGCCCUUACGGGGAAAGAUUUAUUGCCGAAGGAACGGCCCGCGUCCGAUUAGCUUGUUGGUGAGGUAACGGCUCACCAAGGCGACGAUCGGUAGCUGGUCUGAGAGGAUGACCAGCCUCACUGGGACUGAGACACGGCCCAGACUCCUACGGGAGGCAGCAGUGGGGAAUAUUGGACAAUGGGCGCAAGCCUGAUCCAGCCAUGCCGCGUGAGUGAUGAAGGCCUUAGGGUUGUAAAGCUCUUUUAGCAGGGAAGAUAAUGACGGUACCUGCAGAAAAGCCCGGCUAACUUCGUGCCAGCAGCCGC